GUCCACGCCCUAAACGAUGCGAACUGGACGUUGGGCACAAUUCGGUGCUCAGUGUCGAAGCUAACGCGUUAAGUUCGCCGCCUGGGGAGUACGCUCGCAAGAGUGAAACUCAAAGGAAUUGACGGGGCCCGCACAAGCGGUGGAGUAUGUGGUUUAAUUCGAUGCAACGCGAAGAACCUUACCUGGCCUUGACAUGUCCGGAACUGCUCAGAGAUGGCGGUGCUCGGACGGAACACAGUGCUGCAUGGCUGUCGU
rnacentral:rRNA from 1 species